rnacentral:misc_RNA from 1 species
GACACUUCUGUAAUGAGGAGGCUCAGGUUCUUCCACUCGCACGAAAACAUUUUAGCGCCAAAAGGCAGCGGGAACUCCUUUACCAGAGCUUGUGUGUUAUGCCACUUAGACUCAUAGAAUGCGUCUUACCAUGGUUGGUAGGUUCAUUAAGUGAGGAGGAAGCAAGGUCUUUUCUUCAGAACAUGCAUCUGGCAGCACCAGCAUCAG